AUACUCUAGUUUCUCUUCAAAUCAUAUAACUCUUUCGCCUUUUACCAAAGAUUUCCAUGGAGAGGAACAAUUCUGAGUCUGAAUCCAAUUUUUUGAGGCCUAGCUUUUGCAGGGCG
rnacentral:snRNA from 1 species